rnacentral:rRNA from 1 species
AUGCGGGAAAUACAGCGUGGAUCAAGUGACCAUGGGCACAGAAGUUGUGCAAAGGCGAGCAAAAAUGAAAAAGAAGACUGCAAAAAAGAGACCCUAGAGGCGCCCUGGGCAUGCCAUCUCGCGGUAUCAACCCCGAAAGGGGGCUCUCUGAGUUUGAUUACUGAUAUAGUAUGUCUUUUCUUUACUCGUGUAUUUUCAGCAGUAGUAUUCACGUGUAAUGUCAUGAUGCUUACCCAGGGGCUGCCAAAAUCAGCGAUGCCUCUUUUCUUGCACUUGGAUGGGAUUUAUUUUGGUUUUUUUUAG